rnacentral:lncRNA from 10 species
GAGACCCCCCGCCCAGGCUGGAGCCGGGCCCUGGGACCCAGGGAGCGGGUGGGUGUGAGUGUGGGUGGGUGUGAGCGAGUGAGGGCGUGGGCCUGAGAGCGUCCGCGGGACUGUGCGACUGUCGCUGCCCCGCCUUCCCCACCCCCUCUCCAUUCCCCCUUCUCUGCCCUCCUUUGCCACACUCCUUAGACAGGGACGGGCGACCUAGAACGAGGUUCCCAUACCGUCUUUUGAAAAGCAAAACUUGGUCUCUGUUUUGCCUUUUGUUUUAUUGUUUUUAGCUUUAAAGAGUAAGAGCAGCGCACCCGGCUCCCUCCUGCUAAUUAGACUUCAGAUCCCCCUCUGGCCUCAGUGCUCAUUCUGGGGAAGACACCUGCUGAGAUGUCUUUUUCCCCCUCCCUCAACCAAACCACUUAGGUCCUGCCUGCUCUUUCCCGGCUGGAUGCGAGCGUGUUUUCCUGUAUGUAUUUUUUCAUGCGGCCACAAACAGCAUCAGCUGGGGUUCCCGAAGGUCAGAAAAUGGCUAUUGAUUAAUCUAUUAGAAUAGUUGCCGAGAGAAAUAAAAACGACGUAAAAUAACAGGGACCCUAUAAAUAAAGAAGCCAUAACUGGCUACUUGGAGUUGUUAAACGACUUAGCAUAUGAAAAAAUCGGAAAUGAGGCGCUGGGGAAGGAGCCGGCAUUGGCAGCGGCCCGGGUGUAGACAAAUCCUCCAAGAUUUAACUUCCAAGGAAACCAGCGGCGGAGCGGUUGGAGGAGGCGAGGAUGUGUGGCCAGCGCACGCGGAGUGCAAGGCCGCCUAGUUGGGAGCCGCAAGAGCCUGUGCCUAGUGUGGCAGGCACACGUAACCCAAUCCCUGUCUGUACGCUGCGGCCUGGGAGGGGAGCGCCGGCCUCACCAGAGGAAGGAGCACGAGGGGAGGAGUUCCGAGAGGAAAUAAUUAGUGAAAUAUUUGCAGAAGAUGCUGGGAUGUGGAUUUAAUUCCGGAUGGACAGUGGUGCUUCCGAUUCCCUCAGUCUGUUUCCCCAUCCACGAUCUCCUCUUUCCUUGGCCUAGACACACUAAAAAUAAUUCAAUAAAAUAAAAAGUUUAAAAUCUGUAA